AUUGAACGCUGGCGGCAUGCCUUACACAUGCAAGUCGAACGGCAGCGGACCUUCGGGUGCCGGCGAGUGGCGAACGGGUGAGUAAUAUAUCGGAACGUACCUUUCAGUGGGGGAUAACGUAGCGAAAGUUACGCUAAUACCGCAUAUUCUGUGAGCAGGAAAGCAGGGGAUCGCAAGACCUUGCGCUGAUUGAGCGGCCGAUAUCAGAUUAGCUAGUUGGUGAGGUAAAGGCUCACCAAGGCGACGAUCUGUAGCGGGUCUGAGAGGAUGAUCCGCCACACUGGAACUGAGACACGGUCCAGACUCCUACGGGAGGCAGCAGUGGGGAAUUUUGGACAAUGGGCGCAAGCCUGAACCAGCAACGCCGCGUGGGUGAUGAAGGCCUUCGGUUGUAAGACCCGUCGUCGGGAGGGACGGAAACGUACCACGAGUAA
rnacentral:rRNA from 1 species